CUUAUAUUGCAAGACUUGCUUUAAUUAUAUAAUAAGUUUAUACCUUGAGAUGAGUUCUAUAAAGGUUGUCUUAUCUCAAACCUUGAGUCUUAUGAAAAUAAGCUGAAACUUAUAGAAAAUAUAUUUUUGAGAUUGACAAUUUUAUUGAACAUUAUCUUCAAAUUCUAAACUCUUAAAUGGAAUGAUCAAUUGAGGGGGAGAAAGAAAAUUUCAGAAGGAGAGAUCUUAUGGAACUUAAUCGCAUAAAUCUAUAACUAAAGGAGAGAGAAAGAAUACUAAAUGAAAAGUGAUCCUAAUACUCUCCAAUCUGUAUCAUCUGAAAUUUAAAUCUGAAAAUCUUUAUGAUACAUCUUGAGGCUUGUUAUUUGGUUAAUAUAUCUUAUGCAUAAAUCAUGAACCAAAUUGCAAUUCAAACAGUUGAUCUUAAGAGCCUUUAACUUAAUGAAAAAGGGGGAGAAUAAUGUGUUGAAUUUUCUUGAGUAUCUCUCAGAAAAUCUAUUUUGGAAUUCACUAAUGAGUCCU
rnacentral:lncRNA from 1 species